CGGUAAUUCCAGCUCCACUAGUGUAAAUCGUCAUUGCUGCGGUUAAAAAGCUCGUAGUUGGAUCUGAGUUGCAUGCGUUGGUUCCUCUCUGAGGUUAAUCUUCGCUGCAACUAUUUUGCUGGUUUUCUGCAGAUAGCUUCGGCUUCUGUAGUGGCUAGCGAGAUUACUUUGAAUAAAACAGAGUGUUCAAAACAAGCGAUUGCUUGAAUGCUCGAUCAUGGAAUAAUGGAAUAGGACCUCGGUUCUAUUUAUUGGUUCAAGAAUUGAGGUAAUGAUUAAGAGAGACAAUUCGGGGGCAUUCGUAUCCCUGCGCGAGAGGUGAAAUUCGUGGACCGCAGGGGGACGCCCAAAAGCGAAAGCAUUUGCCAAGAAUGUCUUCAUUAAUCAAGAACGAAAGUCAGAGGUUCGAAGGCGAUUAGAUACCGCCCUAGUUCUGACCGUAAACUAUGCCAUCUAGCGAUCCGGUGGGGUUAUUCGCCUCGCCGGGGAGCUUCCCGGAAACGAAAGUCUUUCGGUUCCGGGGGUAGUAUGGUUGCAAAGCUGAAACUUAAAGAAAUUGACGGAAGGGCACCACCAGGAGUGGGGCCUGCGGCUUAAUUUGACUCAACACGGGAAAACUCACCCGGCCCGGACACCGUUAGGAUUGACAGAUUGAAAGCUCUUUCUCGAUUUGGUGGUUGGUGGUGCAUGGCCGUUCUUAGUUGGUGGAGCGAUUUGUCUGGUUUAUUCCGAUAACGAGCGAGACUCUAACCUACUAAAUAGUUUCACGAUUUUCGGGUCGUGUGAACUUCUUAGAGGGAUAAGCGGUGUUUAACCGCACGAGAUUGAGCGAUAACAGGUCU
rnacentral:rRNA from 1 species